GUAAAAGAAACUGCCUUGGCCCACAAAAACAAAGCACAAAUUGAAUUGAGUGGCGAAAAAUGCGCCAGCAGCAGCCGCCAACAAUAAGAACAAGAAAAAAUACAACUCAAAAACAAACUAAAUAAAAGCGAAAUAACUGUAAAAAACGUCAAGUGAAAUGUUUUGCUGUUGGGCGCAUCAUGCAGCAGCCGUCACACAUAUACAUACACACACAUUCAUGUACAUAUACCAUAUGAACACUAGCGCAUGUACGCUUCAACCAACAGCAGCAACAACCACUGGGACAGUUCGACAGCGUGACAGGCGGCCACAUAUUGCCGAUGGCAAUGGUGCUGGCAAUAAAUGUCACUCAAUGCAACAACAACAAAAACACAGUGCCAGCAGCUAAACAAUUGAAGAACCACAAACCGGUAAACAAAAACCAAAAUAAACCACACACAACCGAGCGGAGCGGGGGAGGGGCGGGGUACGGCAGCGCAACAUUUGACAGGCUUUUCAAUUUGUUUAAAAAUAACCAUCAAUGAUGACCAGUGUACACACAAUUCGUGGCAUGCAAGAAGCAAAAGUUGCGACAAGAACAACUACAAAAACAGCAGACAGUGCUAGUAGCUAGCAGCCACCAUGGGCCGACUGACCUCGCAGUGCGAUAAACAGAAAUCGGGCGCAUAGACCACAGAAGACCAACGAGAACAACAUACUAACACACAAAAAAAAAAAAACUAACAAAUAAUAUAUGUAUUAACAGCGUUACAACAACAAAUGUCAAAAUGUUCGCUAGCCGCUUACUUAGCAUAAGCGCUAGACAGCAGCCGUGUGCCUCUACACGUAGACUACAAGUAAAUGCGGUCCAAGCAAGUAGCAAGAAGUCGUCACAGUUUGUUGCAAGCAUUCGCCGCUCGUGAGCUCGGGCCCAUCUGCCUUUAAGUAUGUGCAACAAAGUGCUGUCUAACUUUGUAUUUAAGCAUUUCUAGUCUAUUUUAGUUUAGCUAUUGUCUUGCGUCCCCCACCGGUUUUUGUGGGAAGGAGCGAAAGCGCACGCCCACACACAAGCACUUAGUUACUUAGCCGACACGCUUUAGCGCCGAAAAAGUUUACGAUGCUAUUGCCUGUCAAUUCGGGUGUCGGAGUGGCAAUGUGUGGGUUUUUGUUUUCGUUUGAGGGCAGACCGACUUGUUUUUGUUUAAAUUAUGAUCGCAAGCUUUGCUACAAAGUGUCUCAUGGGAAACCAUAAUAAAAUUGCGGACAAUUUGCGGUGCGCGCACAGCGUUUGCAGCAGCCUGGGUAACACAAAUAAAUCCAUUGCAGUCGGGGAAUUGUGUGCUAGAAGUCUGACGCAGCCGCGUUAUUGUCUUGUUGAGUAUGAAGUCUGCAUAUAGAGGUUUUAUAUUCGAUAAACAUUAAGACAGCGAUUCCACAUUAUUCAAAAAGUUUGGGCGAAAGAACAAAAUGUUAGAAAAAUUAACAACCGAUACAAAAAGAAGGCAGAAACCACUAUACAACCAAAAAUAAAAUCCAUUAACAUUAGAAUACAACAACAACAAGCCAGCAGCUAGUAGCUACCAUUAGCAUUAGCCGAGGCAUAUAACGAAAAACCAAAAAGCAACAGUUCGAGCCACCACGAACAACCAACACAUAUGGCCAACGGAAAGUGCCGAAAUACCAAGCAGCUUCCCAACCAUCUACAGGGCCAACACUUCUUAGCACGAAGAGCGACCGUCAGCCACAUUGGCACAUCGCCACGACCGUUCUUCUUUCCGACUUAACCAUGAAAUUUGGACAACUGCCAAUAAUUUUGGUUCGUGUGCGCGUCUGCAGAAGAUGAAACAGCGCAGAAAUGCUCGUAAAUAGGAAAAUCGGGGAAAAUUUAAAUGCUUUUCGCCGCGAUGGUCGGUUUUAUGCUUUUUGAGAUUUUGCUUUUAAUUUUUUUUUUUUUGCUUUGCUUUAAUUUUUAUUAGAUUUUGUUUGUAACACCAGCGUGCGGCUAAGGAAAUCAGUGUGCAAUUUGAAACAAACAGAAGAAAAUAGUUACAAAGCUUGAUAUAAGAAUAGAGACAUUCGACUGUCAGCUUAGCUACCACUGUUGGCAUACAUCAUUUUAGCCACAGCUGCCAAAUCAAUGGUCAAGCACAGCCGGUAAAAUGCAGAUCUUCUAGCUUUUCCUUAAUUUGUUUACACUCACGCUGCUUUGAAGAUGAUGCUACACAGAUACACACAACUAACCACAUAUAAAUGUAUAAGUAUAUGUACGUUUGUGUGUGGAUAUUGUAAAUAUUGUUGUGUUGCUGAAAGUAAAGCAGCAUGCGGGCGGCUACAAAUACUACAAAUCUGCCGCUUUCGAGGUCAAUAAGUAUGGCGCAAAUUGUUUAAACAAAUACAGGGGCCGAAUUUAUAAAGCUACAGGGUUCCGUAAAUUUCGUUAAAUGGGUAUUGAACAAAUAAAAAUUCUACUAAAUUGCAUAAAGCAGUUUUUGUUACUAUUAUUAAUUGAUAUUUCUUGUUACUUUUUUUUUUUUUUGGUUCAUUAUCAUUUUGUUGUUCUAAGACUCGUUGAUUGGAGCCAUUAUAAGCUGGUAUCUUUGAACUCUCCCGAUGGAUCCUCAAAAACGAGGUGCUCAUUAUAUUCUUGUUGAGUCUUAACUAAAGACAAUUAACUUCAUAUUUUUACUUGUGGAAUAAGUCUGGAAUAAAACUUCAACGGUGAGGGGUCUCUGCUAUUUUUAGAACUAUGAACUGUUUAGUGCAGAAACAUAAGCAUAUUCAUAGGUAUCUAUACCGAAAGCCAGAAGCAACCACAGCACCAUGUAUAUAUGUAUAUAUAGUACCAACUCUAUACUAAAUCAGUGAUGUAGAUCUCGACUCAGUAAUUUUUUCUAUAUUGUACAUGUCAGUCGGAGUUUUUGAUAAUGAGAUACCAAACGUCUUAGUGUAGUAAUUUAGUGUCUUCCAAAGCCAGGUUUUCGUUACAGCGCUACCAGUUAAUAAUAUUCACUCUUGCUCAUUGAAGAUUUGUUAGAAUAUGGGUACGUGAAUCACUCAGAGUAGAGCGUGAAGCUUUUAAGGUCAAUAGAAGUUUUAGCUGUUCUUUUUUGAGCAGGCAAAGGGACCUUAAGUAUGGCUCAAUGGCUUUCAUAAAAGAUAUAAAACACUGGGAAACAGAAACAUGGAACCUGUCCGAAGAUAUCUUCCCUACUGCAAUUUCCUCAUUAGUUUAAAGUGCAUUCACAUGCUGCAAUUUCUUUCUCAGCACCUUUGUCUCAUAGAGUGAUCAGUAUUGCACUUUCUACACUUUCUCACCCCAUCACGUUGUUUUGCAUUCCAUUGAAAAACACUUAAAAAGCGAAGGUAAAUGAAAAGUAUCGCAUUUCCCGAGGAAAACGUCUUUAUUUUGCCUGCGUAAGGCGAUAACAUUAAAAUAAACAAAAUGUCACAUAUUUUAACGGGGUUUUCUUUUCUUCGCACACACGUCUAUAUGUGUCAGCUGGUUGCAACAGUUGUGAUGUAUCAACGCUUUUGUCACCCAUGUCUGGCCUCUGGCGGUGCAGUUCAUGCGCCCAGCUGUCCAACUGUUCAGCUGUCGCUCCAACCGAGGCUGUCCAGCUGCGGUUUUAAGUGUUAUUUUCUUGAACGACACAAUUUUAAGAAAAGCGACAAUUUUCAAUAAAAAAAAAUCCAUAAUUAAGGCGAAAUUAUUGAGCAUACGCGGUAAUAAAUCAAAAGUUGGCGGGAGCAAGUACUCGUACACGCGGGAAAAAAUGAGCGAGAAAUAAAGAUAGCAACAACAAUAAACAAUAUCCAUGACAUGCGUCAGGAACACGCAAAGAAUUAUUACAUUCAAAUUUAACAUUGUCACAACAAAAUAAGUUGUGGGUGGUAGGGGAGAGUAAUGAGGUAGUCAGCGUCGCGAGUUUUUUAACAUACUUUUUUCUGCUUUGUGUUUUUUAGCAGAUGCAGGUGCCGUUGCAUAGGAUUAAGCGGUGCGGUGGGUGGUGGGCUGGUGGGUUGGCCGUCUGCGCUGCGCGUCAUUGUCCCUACGCGCGUCAGUGUCAACGCCAGGGUGUGCG